ACCGGCUCUUUUUAUUGAAUUCAAUAGUACACAUAAGAGCUGAAGGACUUACAGAUUGCAGUGAUGAAAAAAAAAAGAAGCAAAAAAACGCCCUGAAACAGCCUGGUGCUCAGAGGGUGGUGUCGCUGCGAGCGCCUCAGGUUUGAAUCCUUCUAUUUGUUCUUUCACCAAAGCUGACAUGGCCAUGUCCGGGAGACCAGCUGUCAAAAGGGAAAAAUGUUUCAAAGAGAGCACAAAGGUCGUCUGAGUCAAAAACACACAGGAUGCAGCAAUAAAAGAAAAAGGAUACAUUUUGAAAAACAAGUAAUACAACCAGAUGGCUUCAUUUUAAGGUUAUGAGCACAUUGACAGAUAUUAAACCUAAUGUCCAAUUAACACUAGUGAGUACUGACACGUUUUUCCUUGCACAAUGUAAUUUAGUUCAGAUGUCUGCAGUGCAACUAGCUACAGAAUGAACAUAACAAAUAAACUCAUGCAAGAACAUUUUCAAAUUGUUAUCUUAAAUUUCUCUUCCUUUUUAUUUG